rnacentral:rRNA from 1 species
CACCUUUUGACAUGCCUGGACCAACCGAGAGAUCGGUCUUUCCCUUCGGGGACUGGGACACAGGUGCUGCAUGGCUGUCGUCAGCUCGUGUCGUGAGAUGUUGGGUUAAGUCCCGCAACGAGCGCAACCCUCGCUGUUAGUUGCCAUCAUUUAGUUGGGAACUCUAACAGGACUGCCGGUGCUAAGCCGGAGGAAGGUGGGGAUGACGUCAAGUCCUCAUGGCCCUUACAAGGUGGGCUACACACGUGCUACAAUGGUGACUACAGAGGGCAAAUCCCUAAAAGUCAUCUCAGUUCGGAUCGUCCUCUGCAACUCGAGGGCGUGAAGUUGGAAUCGCUAGUAAUCGCGGAUCAGCAUGCCGCGGUGAAUACGUUCCC